GGGCUCAUGGUCUAGUCGGUCAUGACGUCGCCCUUACACGGCGGAGGUCGCCGGUUCGAAUCCGGCUGAGCCCA
rfam:Methanolinea sp. SDB scaffold-10969, whole genome shotgun sequence.